UUCGGUGCGAGAUUUGGUAGGAAAAGGGUGAAUGGUGGAAAUAGCCUCCCUUGUUCUUCAUCUACUGUGCUAUUUUAUUCUUCUUUCUCCACAGAAGAUGCAACAUUUCUUGCCUCCCUUAUAGUCAAGAGGAUGGAACAAUAUUUUCUGUUGUCCAUCUAUCUAGCUUUUCUUCUCCUUCAGAAGCCAUCUAUCUAGAGAAGCUGAUA
rnacentral:lncRNA from 1 species